CUGGCGGCGUGCUUAACACAUGCAAGGUCGAACGGAGCUGUUUUUUGAAGCCUUCGGGCAGAAUCAAAACAGCUUAGUGGCGGACGGGUGAGUAACGCGUGGGUAACCUGCCUUAUACAGGGGGGAUAACAACCGGAAACGGUUGCUAAUACCGCAUAAGCGCACAGUAUUGCAUGAUACCGCGUGAAAAGAUUUAUCGGUAUAAGAUGGACCCGCGUCUGAUUAGCUAGUUGGUGAGGUAGAGACUCACCAAGGCAACGAUCAGUAGCCGGCUUGAGAGAGUGAACGGCCACAUUGGGACUGAGACACGGCCCAAACUCCUACGGGAGGCAGCAGUGGGGAAUAUUGCACAAUGGGGGAAACCCUGAUGCAGCGACGCCGCGUGAGUGAAGAAGUAUUUCGGUAUGUAAAGCUCUAUCAGCAGGGACGAUAAUGACGGUACCUGACUAAGAAGCCCCGGCUAACUACGUGCCAGCCGCCGC
rnacentral:rRNA from 1 species